UGAGUCCUUAUGGACGAAGUCGAUGAUCCUAUGCUGCCGAGAAAAACCUCUAGCGAGCUAUGCGCCGCCCGUACCCCAAACCGACUCAGGUGAUCAGGUAGAGAAUACUAAGGCGAUCGAGUGAACUAUGGUUAAGGAACUCGGCAAAAUGCCCCCGUAACUUCGGGAGAAGGGGGGCCGGAUUUGUUAUUGCACUUGCUGCAAAAAGCAAUGAUGGCCGCAGAGACCAGGCCCAAGCGACUGUUUACUAAAAACACAGGUCCGUGCGAAGUUGUAAGACGAUGUAUACGGACUGACUCCUGCCCGGUGCUGGAAGGUUAAGGGGACCUGUUAGAUCUUCGGAUCGAAGCGGAGAACUUAAGCCCCAGUAAACGGCGGUGGUAACUAUAACCAUCCUAGGGUAGCGAAAUUCCUUGUCGGGUAAGUUCCGACCUGCACGAAUGGAGUAACGACUUGGGCGCUGUCUCAACCAUAGACUCGGCGAAAUUGCACUACGAGUAAAGAUGCUCGUUACGCGCGGCAGGACGGAAAGACCCCGGGACCUUUACUAUAGUUUGGUAUUGGUGUUUGGUUCGAUUUGUGUAGGAUAGGUGGGAGACUUUGAAGCUUGGACGCCAGUUCAGGUGGAGUCAACGUUGAAAUACCACUCUGAUCGUAUUAGACAUCUAACCUAGGUCCAUUAUCUGGAUCAGGGACAGUGCCUGAUGGGUAGUUUAACUGGGGCGGUUGCCUCCUAAAAUGUAACGGAGGCGCUCAAAGGUUCCCUCAGCCUGGUUGGUAAUCAGGUUUUGAGUGUAAGUGCACAAGGGAGCUUGACUGUGAGAGUGACAACUCGAGCAGGGACGAAAGUCGGAACUAGUGAUCCGGCGCUGGCAUGUGGAAGCGGCGUCGCUCAACGGAUAAAAGGUACCCCGGGGAUAACAGGCUGAUCUUCCCCAAGAGUCCAUAUCGACGGGAUGGUUUGGCACCUCGAUGUCGGCUCGUCGCAUCCUGGGGCUGGAGUAGGUCCCAAGGGUUGGGCUGUUCGCCCAUUAAAGCGGCACGCGAGCUGGGUUUAGAACGUCGUGAGACAGUUCGGUCCCUAUCCGCCGCGCGCGCAGGAAACUUGAGAAAGGCUGUCCCUAGUACGAGAGGACCGGGAUGGACGAACCUCUGGUGUGCCAGUUGUUCCGCCAGGAGCACGGCUGGUUAGCUACGUUCGGAAGUGAUAACCGCUGAAAGCAUCUUAGCGGGAAGCACGUUUCAAGAUGAGGUUUCCCACCGGGUUAACCGGGUAAGGCCCCCAGUAGACGACUGGGUUGAUAGGCCGGAGGUGUACAGCAGUAAUGCCUAGCCGACCGGUACUAAUAGGCCGAGGGCUUGUCCCA
rnacentral:rRNA from 1 species